AUGACGGGCUUCCAAAAGGUAGUCAGUGAUGCUUGGAACGAGGCUUCGAGGCACGGUGAGCCCUAUCAAAGGCUCUUCCACAAGCUCAAGAGGACAAGUCAAAAAUUGCGUGCUUGGAGCAAGACCCUCUUUGCAAACUCAAAGGUUCAACUCCACAUGGCCCUCGAAGUCAUCCUCCACCUUGACUCGGCGCAAGAUGAAAGAACUCUUAGCCCAGAAGAAAGUGACAUCCGCAAAAGGCUUAAGAGAAAGGUUAUCAGCUUGGCCGCCUUGGAGAAGGCCAGGAAGUGUCAAAACUCCAGAAUCACUAACCUCAAAGAAGGAGAUGCCAACACACGUUACUUCCAUCUGCGGGUCAACCAUAGAAGAAGGAAAAAUUUCAUUCACCGCCUCAAGCACAACAAUGGUUGGGUCACUGAGCACGAGCACAAGAAAAACAUUGUCCACCACCACUUCAAGAACAUCGCAAAAAAAAGGCCCUUCACGUAA
rnacentral:rRNA from 1 species